GCAUCGACAAGAGCAUCAGCGAGCUGACUCUCGAGGAGGGCAGCGGGAGCCCGUCCAAGGGCGGCAAAGGAGGGGUGAAAUUCAGCAGCCCGGUAUGGCUGCAGCGAAUGCGGCUGGCUAUCGACCUU
rnacentral:SRP_RNA from 1 species